UACGUAGGUGGCAAGCGUUGUCCGGAUUUACUGGGCGUAAAGAGCGCGCAGGCGGUCGAGUAAGUCGCAUGUGAAAGCCCCCGGCUUAACUGGGGAGGGUCAUUCGAUACUGUUCGACUUGAAGGCAGGAGAGGGCAGCAGAAUUCCCGGUGUAGUGGUGAAAUGCGUAGAUAUCGGGAGGAAUACCAGUGGCGAAGGCGGCUGCCUGGCCUGUUCUUGACGCUGAGGCGCGAAAGCUGGGGGAGCAAACGGG
rnacentral:rRNA from 1 species